rnacentral:lncRNA from 1 species
GUUGGAGUGCAAUGGCGCGAUCUCGGCUGACUGCAACCUCCACCUCCUGGAUUCAAGCUAUUCUCCUGCCUCAGCCUGCCGAGUAGCUGGGAUUACAGGCAUGUGCCACCGCACCCAGCUAAUUUUGUAUUUUUUAGUAGAGAUGGGGUUUCUCCAUGUUGGUCAGGCUGGUCUUGAACUCCUGACCUCAGGUGAUCCGCCCACCUCAGCCUCCCAAAGUGCUGGGAUUACAGGCGUGAGCCACCGCGCCCGGCCAGAACAUUAGUUUUAAACUUCCUAACCCUUGGGAGAAGGCAAAACACUUGAUGAAAUCUACAUAAAGACUAAAACAUUUUACCAAUUUUGCAUUGUUUGUUUGAAAUUGCAUUGACGACUGGUAUGUUAAUUUUGUAUAUAUUUUUAUGAGAACAAUGUUGGACAUCAUUUAAUUUUUUUAGGUUUUUUUAAUUGAUUAUUGAUUGGUUCAUUUGCAGGAACUGACUAUUAGUAAUCAAGGAUACAAAUUGUUAAGAGAAUAUGUUACAGAGAAAAACUUGACAAGCUAGACUUAGAUUUUUGUCGUUAAAGAUAAUUUGUGGGAUAUGAUUUUUAUAAGGAGUUGCAUUAAAUAGAAUGUCUUACACAGAUUUAAGAGGUUAAUAAUUAUAAAAUUAAGAUGAGUUCUUAUAAAAUAUUCUUGAGGUAUAAUAAAAUUAUACUUGUGGAGUAUAUCUUUGAAUAACAUUUAAAAGCAAACUAAUACUUUCCAGGUAAAAUAAUUAUCAACAUAACUUUUUAAAAAUAAUUCAUAGUACUUCAGGUUAUUUCUAUGUUUGACACAUUAACUUAAAAGAAAAAAGGAAAAUGGUGAUUAGUUAAUGCCAUACACACUGGACAGAAAAGAAACUUAGCUCUUAUGGAUUCCUCUCCAUAUUUUGCAGCAGGGUAAAUGUAAGUUUUCUUACGUAGCUAGAUACUGUGUUCCAGUGCUGUUGAUGUUGUACUGUUUUAGCAAUGAAGAGAUUGAUAUGGGCUGAUUGGGGGUUAGGGAAAGUGAAGCAGCAGAACCAGAACAGAGUGGACAUUUAAAGGGUGCUAAUAAGUAAAUAAUUAUGUGAAGUAGCAUACUGGUCGAAAUGCAUAACUCAAAGAUAAUCGGGAAGCGUAUUUUCUUUUCUUUUCUUUUUUUUUUUUGAGAUGGAGUCUCGCUCUGUCGCCCAGGCUGGAGUGCAGUGGCACGAUCUUGGUUCACUGUAAGCUCCGCCUCCCAGGUUCACGCCAUUCUCCUGCCUCAGCCUCCCAAGUAGCUGGGACUACAGGCGCCUGCCACCAUGCCCAGCUAAUUUUUUUGUAUUUUUAGUAGAGACGGGGUUUUACCGUGUUAGCCAGGAUGGUCUCGACCUCCUGACCUCGUGAUCUGCCCGCCUCGGCCUCCCAAAGUGCUGGGAUUACAGGCUUGAGCCACCGCGCCCGGCCGGGAAGCAUGUUUUCUGAAACAUAACCUAAGAAAGUAUAAAUGCUGCCUUGUGCCUACAAUCCUGGUGACAAGAGCAAGACUUCGUCUCAAAAAAAAAAAAAAGUAUAAAAGCUCCUUAAAGGAUGUUUCAAAAUAAUGAAUAAUAUUAAUUUCUAUAUUGUAUAUUCACAAAUGUUCUUUCUAGAAUAAUUAUUUGCUUAAUGGGGUGCAUGUUUAGUUGGUGAGAAAUGAAUUAAUAGGUUAGUGAUUUAUUAUCUGUUGGGAAAAAUUUUAGACAUUCACAUGAAAGUAGAGAGAAUAACAUAAAUGAAUUUCCAUAUAUGGAUCACUUAGAUUUAGCAACCGUUAUGAUUUUGCCUUACUUGCCUUUUCCCCCAAAAUACUGUAAAGUAAAUUACAGUUAUCAUGACAUUUUCUUCUAAAUAAGUCAAUAUAAACAUAUAAUAAACAAGGACCUUUUUCUAUAUAGUCACAAUGCCAUCACUAUACAUAGUAGGAUUAACAGUAAUUCCGUAAUUUUUUUUUUGUUUUUGAGAUGAAGUCUUGCUCUUGUCACCCAGGCUGGAGUGCAAUGGUGUGAUCUCGGCUCACUGCAACCUCGACCUCCCGGGUUCAAGUGAUUCUCCUGCCUCAGCCUCCCGAGUAGCUGGGAUUACAGGGGCCUGCCACCAUGCCCGGCUAAUUUUUGUAUUUUUGGUAGAGAUGGGGUUUCACCAUGUUAGCCAGGCUGGUCUGGAACUCCUAAUCUCAGGUGAUCCGUCUGCCUCGGCCUCCCAAAGUGCUGGGAUUACAGGCGUGAGCCACCGCGCCCGGCCAUUCCUUAAUGUUUAACACCCAGUGCAUAUUCAGAUUUUCCCAGUUGUCCGCAGGAUGUCUUUUAUAGCUGCUUUCUUCAAACCAGGAUCUAUUCGGAGACCACACAUUGCAUUUGAUUUUUAUGUCUUUUGAGCCUUUUAAAAUUUAGAGCAGUUCCCUAUAACCCCUUCUUUUGUUUGUUUUAUGAAAUUGGCUUGUUGAACUUCACAAAACACGAGUUGGGGUCAUGCCAACUGUACCGUUAGUGAUUAGUUUACAUAUAGGGAAAAUAAUUUGUGAAUGUUGGUCCAUUCACUCUGCCAGCUAUACCAUGGCAGCAUUUCCAGUAUCAGGAAAGCAAACCAGGGGAUCUAAAACUGAGCAUUAAAAACUCUCCCCUAUCCAGUGAAAGAGAUAAGAAUGCCAGUUGUGAGAAAAUUGAAGGGGAAACGGAGAAUGUCAGUGUUAAAGAUAUUUGAACUUUUUUUUUUUAUCCAUUUGAAAGGUAUUUUUUUUGGGUGAACUAUUUGUUAAUAUUCUUGGUCCUGUAAAAAAAAAAUUGGUGUUUGGACUUUUUCUUAUUGUAGACACUCUUCAUAAAUUAAGGAAAUUCGCCUUUUUUUGUUAUAAU